ACUCCUGCGGGAGGCAGCAGUGGGGAAUUUUGGACAAUGGGCGAAAGCCUGAUCCAGCCAUGCCGCGUGCAGGAUGAAGGCCUUCGGGUUGUAGACUGCUUUUGUACGGAACGAAACGGCCUUUUCUAAUAAAGAGGGCUAAUGACGGUACCGUAAGAAUAAGCACCGGCUAACUACGUGCCAGCAGCCGCGGUAAUACGUAGGGUGCAAGCGUUAAUCGGAAUUACUGGGCGUAAAGCGUGCGCAGGCGGUUAUGUAAGACAGUUGUGAAAUCCCCGGGCUCAACCUGGGAACUGCAUCUGUGACUGCAUAGCUAGAGUACGGUAGAGGGGGAUGGAAUUCCGCGUGUAGCAGUGAAAUGCGUAGAUAUGCGGAGGAACACCGAUGGCGAAGGCAAUCCCCUGGACCUGUACUGACGCUCAUGCACGAAAGCGUGGGGAGCAAACAGGAUUAGAAACCCCUGUAGUCCCAUG
rnacentral:rRNA from 1 species